rnacentral:rRNA from 1 species
UGGGGAAUAUUGCACAAUGGGCGAAAGCCUGAUGCAGCGACGCCGCGUGAGGGAUGACGGCCUUCGGGUUGUAAACCUCUUUCAGUAGGGACGAAGCGCAAGUGACGGUACCUGCAGAAGAAGCACCGGCUAACUACGUGCCAGCAGCCGCGGUAAUACGUAGGGUGCGAGCGUUGUCCGGGAUUACUGGGCGUAAAGAGCUCGUAGGCGGUUUGUCACGUCGUCUGUGAAAUCCUAGGGCUUAACCCUGGACGUGCAGGCGAUACGGGCUGACUUGAGUACUACAGGGGAGACUGGAAUUUCUGGUGUAGCGGUGGAAUGCACAGAUAUCAGGAAGAACACCGAUGGCGAAGGCAGGUCUCUGGGUAGUAACUGACGCUGAGGAGCGAAAGCAUGGGUAGCGAACAGG